rnacentral:rRNA from 2 species
CAUCUUAAGGCUGAGAUACGAUGUCGAGCUACUACGGUAGUGAAGUCAUUGAUGCCAUGCUUCCGGGAAAAGCUUCUAAGCUUCAGAUUAUAAGAAAUCGUACCCCAAACCGACACAGGUGAUCAGGUAGAGAAUACCAAGGCGCUUGAGAGAACUCGGGUGAAGGAACUAGGCAAAAUGGUACCGUAACUUCGGGAGAAGGUACGCUCCUAGCGGUGAUGAGACUUGCUCUCUAAGCUGCCGGGAGUCGCAGAUACCAGGUGGCUGCAACUGUUUAUUAAAAACACAGCACUGUGCAAAAUCGAAAGAUGACGUAUACGGUGUGACGCCUGCCCGGUGCCGGAAGGUUAAUUGAUGGGGUUAGACUUCGGUCGAAGCUCUUGAUCGAAGCCCCGGUAAACGGCGGCCGUAACUAUAACGGUCCUAAGGUAGCGAAAUUCCUUGUCGGGUAAGUUCCGACCUGCACGAAUGGCGUAAUGAUGGCCACGCUGUCUCCACCCGAGACUCAGUGAAAUUGAAAUCGCAGUGAAGAUGCUGUGUACCCGCGGCUAGACGGAAAGACCCCGUGAACCUUUACUAUAGCUUGGCACUGAACAUUGACCCUACAUGUGUAGGAUAGGUGGGAGACGUUGAAGCAACCGCGCCAGUGGUUGUGGAGUCAAUCUUGAAAUACCACCCUUGUAUGCUUGAUGUUCUAACGUUGGCCCCUUAUCGGGGUUACGGACAGUGCCUGGUGGGUAGUUUGACUGGGGCGGUCUCCUCCCAAAGAGUAACGGAGGAGCACGAAGGUGGGCUAAUCACGGUCGGACAUCGUGAGGUUAGUGCAAUGGCAUAAGCCCGCUUGACUGCGAGAAUGACAAUUCGAGCAGGUGCGAAAGCAGGUCAUAGUGAUCCGGUGGUUCUGAAUGGAAGGGCCAUCGCUCAACGGAUAAAAGGUACUCCGGGGAUAACAGGCUGAUACCGCCCAAGAGUUCAUAUCGACGGCGGUGUUUGGCACCUCGAUGUCGGCUCAUCACAUCCUGGGGCUGAAGUCGGUCCCAAGGGUAUGGCUGUUCGCCAUUUAAAGUGGUACGCGAGCUGGGUUUAGAACGUCGUGAGACAGUUCGGUCCCUAUCUGCCGUGGGCGUUGGAUGAUUGAGAGGGGCUGCUCCUAGUACGAGAGGACCGGAGUGGACGAACCGCUGGUGUUCGGGUUGUAUCGCCAGAUGCAUUGCCCGGUAGCUAAGUUCGGAAUCGAUAACCGCUGAAAGCAUCUAAGCGGGAAGCGAGCCUCAAGAUGAGUCAUCCCUAGACCUUUAAGGUCUCUAAAGGGUUGUUGAAGACUACAACGUUGAUAGGUCAGGUGUGUAAGUGCUGCGAGGCAUUGAGCUAACUGAUACUAAUUGCCCGUGAGGCUUAACCAUACAACACCCAAGGGGUUU